rnacentral:sRNA from 1 species
CUUUAGCCCAGAUAGUAGUGGAAAUCCUUUAUCUUUUUUUUGAAAAAAAAAGAUAAAGAUUGCAGCGGAUAGCUGGAAACAGC